UGGCUCAGUUGGUAGAGCGUGGUGUUUGCAACGCCAGGGUUGUGGGUUCGUUUCCCAC
rfam:Salmo salar isolate Sally breed double haploid chromosome ssa01, whole genome shotgun sequence.